AACCAACGCUGGCGGCGUGCCUAAUACAUGCAAGUCGAACGGGGUAGCAAUACCUAGUGGCGCACGGGUGAGUAACGCGUGGAUAAUCUGCCUUAGAGUGGGGGAUAACUAGUCGAAAGAUUAGCUAAUACCGCAUAAGACCACAAGAGCUGCGGCUCAAGGGGUCAAAGGUUUUUCGCUCUAAGAUGAGUCCGCGUAAGAUUAGCUAGUUGGUGAGGUAAUGGCUCACCAAGGCGACGAUCUUUAACUGGUCUGAGAGGAUGAUCGGUCACACUGGAACUGAGACACGGUCCAGACUCCUACGGGAGGCAGCAGUAGGGAAUAUUGCACAAUGGAGGAAACUCUGAUGCAGCGACGCCGCGUGAGUGAUGAAGGCCUUCGGGUCGUAAAGCUCUGUCGCAGGGGAAUAACACAAUGAAUGUACCCUGUAAGAAAGGAUCGGCUAACUUCGUG
rnacentral:rRNA from 1 species